AAUAUCAAAGGUGAGCCAGUACAGGAUGGACCCGCGUCUGAUUAGCUAGUUGGUAAGGUAACGGCUUACCAAGGCGACGAUCAGUAGCCGACCUGAGAGGGUGAUCGGCCACAUUGGAACUGAGACACGGUCCAAACUCCUACGGGAGGCAGCAGUGGGGAAUAUUGCACAAUGGGCGAAAGCCUGAUGCAGCAACGCCGCGUGAGUGAUGAAGGCCUUCGGGUCGUAAAACUCUGUCCUCAAGGAAGAUAAUGACGGUACUUGAGGAGGAAGCCCCGGCUAACUACGUGCCAGCAGCCGCGGUAAUACGUAGGGGGCUAGCGUUAUCCGGAUUUACUGGGCGUAAAGGGUGCGUAGGCGGUCUUUCAAGUCAGGAGUGAAAGGCUACGGCUCAACCGUAGUAAGCUCUUGAAACUGGGAGACUUGAGUGCAGGAGAGGAGAGUGGAAUUCCUAGUGUAGCGGUGAAAUGCGUCGAUAUUAGGAGGAACACCAGUUGCGAAGGCGGCUC
rnacentral:rRNA from 1 species